UGUUUGUGUAGUGUGUGUAUAUAAUGCAGUGUGUUUGUUUGUGUAGUGUGUUUAUAUAUGCACACUACAUAAACACACUGCAUUAUAUACACACACUACACAAAU